rnacentral:rRNA from 1 species
UAGGGAAUCUUCCGCAAUGGACGAAAGUCUGACGGAGCAACGCCGCGUGAGUGAAGAAGGAUUUCGGUUCGUAAAACUCUGUUGUUAGGGAAGAAAAAAUGUAUAGUAACUAUAUACAAAAGAGACGGUACCUAACCAGAAAGCCACGGCUAACUACGUGCCAGCAGCCGCGGUAAUACGUAGGUGGCAAGCGUUGUCCGGAAUUAUUGGGCGUAAAGCGCGCGCAGGUGGUUUAGAAAGUCUGAUGUGAAAGCCAACGGCUCAACCGUGGAGGGUCAUUGGAAACUAAUAAACUUGAGUGCAGGAGAGAAAAGUGGAAUUCCUGGUGUAGCGGUGAAAUGCGUAGAGAUUAGGAGGAACACCGGUGGCGAAAGCGGCUUUUUGGCCUGCAACUGACACUGAGGCGCGAAAGAGUGGGGAGCAAACAGG